rnacentral:rRNA from 1 species
CUACGGAACUCCUACGGGAGGCAGCAGUGGGGAAUAUUGCACAAUGGGCGAAAGCCUGAUGCAGCGACGCCGCGUGAGGGAUGACGGCCUUCGGGUUGUAAACCUCUUUCAGUAGGGAAGAAGCGAGAGUGACGGUACCUGCAGAAGAAGCGCCGGCUAACUACGUGCCAGCAGCCGCGGUAAUACGUAGGGCGCAAGCGUUGUCCGGAAUUACUGGGCGUAAAGAGCUCGUAGGCGGUUUGUCACGUCGUCUGUGAAAUCCUAGGGCUUAACCCUGGACGUGCAGGCGAUACGGGCUGACUUGAGUACUACAGGGGAGACUGGAAUUUCUGGUGUAGCGGUGGAAUGCACAGAUAUCAGGAAGAACACCGAUGGCGAAGGCAGGUCUCUGGGUAGUAACUGACGCUGAGGAGCGAAAGCAUGGGUAGCGAACAGGAUUAGAUACCCGUGUAGUCCUCUUCGA